rnacentral:rRNA from 1 species
CCUACGGGUGGCAGCAGUGGGGAAUAUUGGACAAUGGGCGAAAGCCUGAUCCAGCCAUGCCGCGUGUGUGAAGAAGGCCUUCGGGUUGUAAAGCACUUUCAGUGGGGAAGAAAGCCUUGGGGCUAAUACCCUCGAGGAAGGACAUCACCCACAGAAGAAGCACCGGCUAACUCCGUGCCAGCAGCCGCGGUAAUACGGAAGGUGCGAGCGUUAAUCGGAAUUACUGGGCGUAAAGCGCGCGUAGGCGGUCUGAUAAGCCGGUUGUGAAAGCCCCGGGCUCAACCUGGGAACGGCAUCCGGAACUGUCAGGCUAGAGUGCAGGAGAGGAAGGUAGAAUUCCCGGUGUAGCGGUGAAAUGCGUAGAGAUCGGGAGGAAUACCAGUGGCGAAGGCGGCCUUCUGGACUGACACUGACGCUGAGGUGCGAAAGCGUGGGUAGCAAACAGGAUUAGAUACCCUAGUAGUC